CAUGACCAUUGUACCAAAACCUAGAGGUGGCUGAAGGAUGGGCGUCGCGUUGGAUUAGAUAGUUGGUGGGGGGUAACGGGCCUACCAAGUCGACGAUCCAUAGCCGGACUGAGAGGUUGAACGGCCACAUUGGGACUGAGACACGGCCCACGACUCCUACGGGAGGGCAGCAGUGGGGAAGUAUUGCACAAUGGGGGAAACCCUGAUGCAGCAACGCCGCGUGAAGGAAGACGGUUUUCGGAUUGUAAACUUCUGUUCUUAGUGAAGAUAGUGACGGUAGCUAAGGAGCAAGCCACGGCUAACUACGUGCC
rnacentral:rRNA from 1 species